rnacentral:rRNA from 1 species
UACGGGGGGAGCAAGCGUUGUUCGGAUUUACUGGGCGUAAAGGGCGCGUAGGCGGCCUGUGCAAGUCAGUUGUGAAAUCUCCGAGCUUAACUCGGAACGGUCAACUGAUACUGCUCGGCUAGAGUGCGGAAGGGGCAACUGGAAUUCUCGGUGUAGCAGUGAAAUGCGUAGAUAUCGAGAGGAACACCAGUGGCGAAGGCGAGUCUCUGGACGACUCCUGACACUGAGGCACGAAAGCUGGGGGAGCAAACAGG